AGUGGCGCACGGGUGAGUAACGCGUAAGUAACCUAUCCUUUUAUUGGGGAUAACAGAUCGAAAGGUCUGCUAAUACCGAAUAAUCUCUGGUGACGCGAGUUAUUGGAGGAAAGGCAACCUCUUGUUCAAAGUUGCUGUAGGGGGAGGGGCUUGCGUACCAUUAGCUAGUUGGUGGGGUAAAGGCUCACCAAGGCGACGAUGGUUAGCGGGUCUGAGAGGAUGAUCCGCCACACUGGAACUGGAACACGGACCAGACUCCUACGGGAGGCAGCAGUGAGGAAUAUUGCGCAAUGGGGGCAACCCUGACGCAGCGACGCCGCGUGAGUGAAGAAGGCCUUCGGGUUGUAAAGCUCUGUCGGGAGGGAAGAAUGGUUAGGCGGUUAAUAGUCGUUUAGCUUGACGGUACCUUCAAAGGAAGCACCGGCUAACUCCGUGCCAGCAGCCGCGGUAAUACGGAGGGUGCGAGCGUUAAUCGGAAUUACUGGGCGUAAAGGGCGCGUAGGCGGUUUUAUAAGUCAGAUGUGAAAGCCCACGGCUUAACCGUGUGAAGUGCAUCUGAAACUGUGAGGCUAGAGUACCGGAGGGGAAGGUGGAAUUCCCGGUGUAGAGGUGAAAUUCGUAGAUAUCGGGAGGAAUACCGGUGGCGAAGGCGAUCUUCUGGACGGAUACUGACGCUGAGGCGCGAGAGCAUGGGGAGCAAACAGGAUUAGAUACCCUGGUAGUCCACAGCUGUAAACUAUGUGCACUAGAUGUAGGCGGNAAUUGACCCCGUCUGUGUC
rnacentral:rRNA from 1 species